rnacentral:rRNA from 1 species
UACGUAGGGUGCUAGCGUUGUCCGGAUUUAUUGGGCGUAAAGGGCUCGUAGGCGGUUUGUCGCGUCGGGAGUGAAAACUCAGGGCUUAACCCUGAGCCUGCUUCCGAUACGGGCAGACUAGAGGUAUGCAGGGGAGAGCGGAAUUCCUGGUGUAGCGGUGAAAUGCGCAGAUAUCAGGAGGAACACCGGUGGCGAAGGCGGUUCUCUGGGCAUUACCUGACGCUGAGGAGCGAAAGUGUGGGGAGCGAACAGG